GCCUGGCGCGGUGUCACACACCUGUAGUCCCAGCUUCUUGGGAAGCUGAGACAGGAGGAUGGCUUGAGUCCAGGCUGUAGUGUGCUAUGCCGAUCAGGUGUCCUCACAAAUUUCAUCAUCAAUAUGGUGACCUCCCGGUAGCAGAGGACCACCAGGUUGCCUAAGGAGGGCUGAACUGUCCAAGUCGGAAACGGAGCAGGUCAAAGAUGACAGCUGAUAGCAACUUAGAGACUACAUUUCUUAAAAAAAUGUUUAUUAGUUGUUUUAG
ensembl:misc_RNA Metazoa_SRP Metazoan signal recognition particle RNA